AUGGAGCAGUUCCCUCUUUGUCUGGAGAAGGCGUUGUUUAUAGACCACAACCGCAUGGCCUCCAGUGGCAUGGAGUGGAGGGUCACAAUGUGUUCCCCCAUCAUAUCCACAAAAUGGAUGACAAUAAGAGAUCAUUCAUCUCAAUCACUCACUGUUGGACCAGAGUCAUCCAAAUCCCUGCUAGUGAGCGCACCUGCCCAGAAUGACGGCCUAAUGAUCAGGAUGCUCCAACUCAUCAUCUUGGCAUAUAGUGGGUGAUGAAGAUGUUUCCACCAGGUGAAACGCUCCUGUUGGUUCAGAUGAAGAGGGGCCUCUACUUAUUAUUGAUUGUAUUGGGAGAAAACUUUUUUUAUUCAUAAUAUAA
rnacentral:lncRNA from 1 species